rnacentral:rRNA from 1 species
AUGGGUGACUAUCUAGCACGGUUCAGAGAGCACGUGUAUGUAGUCUGCGCUGGUGAAUGGAAGCCUCCGCUGCAAAAAAGAAGCGGCUCUUCCCACAGCUCGGUCACCAUUGACUCUAUUUAUUAUUAUGGUAAAUCAUUGUAUCAAGAUAUCAAUCUUAGAUCAUAUUUUAGUUCGAUACGUCCACCUACGAAACUCGCCCUUGGCUUUCGUCUCGGUAGGUGUAUUAUUCUACAUUUUCCCAAAAGGACAUUCAUUCAUUUCUUUCUUCCCGGGCGAUCACCACGACUAAAACUCAAAAAACACAAGAAAUCAAGGCCCGUACUACAGGAAAAGGGCUGGUGGCCAACAGUUCAGAAAGUCGGGCCGAUCGGGUGUCUUCAUUCAAGCGAGGGUACAGAGGAAGAACGAAACGAAGUGAGAGGCCGGGGGGCAGGGAAAAGAGUCGAGUCGAUCGACCAGGAGAAGCAAAACAAAAUCCGGAUUUGGCCGAAAAAGAUGCAACGUUAUGGAUACAAUGACCGAUCACCAUCGAGAAAGAAGAAUUUUGAUAAAUCACUUCACAUGAGCGGGUCCUUCAAGCGGCCUCAAUACGUCGGGGUUGUAAAUGACAUACCUUUCCUUAUGGGAAAUGCCGCCUCCUUACUAAAAAGGAAUAGAAUCAAGUUACUUUUACCAAAGAAGUCCCGCUCUGACGGCCCGACGAGUCAUCUACUAAAAAGGACCUUCCCCGCUGUGCGGCCCUCCUUGAAUUAUUCGAUCAUGCAAUACUUUUUUAAUACUAAGAAUAAAAUGCAUUUCGACCCCGUCCUAGUUCUCAAUCAUUUCGUGGCACCGGGUGUGGCUGAACCAUCUACGAUGGGGGGAGCGAAGGGAGGAAGCUUAGAUAAGAGAAUACGCUCUCGCAUCGCUUUUUUUUAG